GCGGGGGCGAGGGAAGGGGUGGGGCGAGUACCGCUCCAGGAAGAGGAGCGUUACUAUGGCAACCCUGACAGGUUUGUGAGCAGCUCCUGGUCCCCUGCUGCUCCGUGAGAAAUCAAACUUCUGGCAAUGACAAAGCAUGAAGACAGCAUCUUAGGGAGAGGUAGUGACAUAAUUAAACGGUAAGACCAGCCGCCCUGGUCCCGCUGUCGCCCGGCAGGCAGGAAAAGUUUGAGAAUAGUCAGGCUCCCGUUAGCAUGGCAGAACUGCUCUGGACUCGGGGAGGUGUGGAUUCGAGGGCGGGAGCUACGCCUGGCGUACUGGGAGUUGUCAUCUUUGAUUAGCUUCCAGUUUUUUAAUUGCAGGGCGACCGGAUUACAAUCCCAGCCAGCAUGAACAGGGGGUGGUGCGCAGUCCUGAAGGGGGAAGCCGGGCUGUGCCGGCCUCGCUGUGCAUUCUGGGAGCUGUAGUCUCCUUACCGCUCCCGCCCGUUGUUUCAAGCGCUUCGGGACUACAAUCCCAGCAUGCCCCGGGCUCGGGGGCGGGGCGCAGUUCUCUUUGCGAGAGCGCAGCAGCGCGCGCCUGACCAGGCUGAUUGGAAACGGUAGCUCUUAACGGUUCCCCGCCCGUCGGUGGCAAGGCGGCUGGACUAGAAUCCCAGCAGACGACAUGCGAGGAGGCGGGCAACCCAGGAGUGUUGGGCAGAGCAGUGUGGACCUCGCCGCUUCCACAGCGAUGCUGGCUACUGAUCGCGGGCACCUCCUUGCCAUGGGAAGUUUGUGCUGUGCACUAACAUGUAAUUCAAAUACUGAUGAAAACAAAGCUGGUGCCUUCCUACCAAGUGGUAACAAUGCAUAUUUUUUUCUUUCUCUAAUUAUAAAAGAAAUGCAUGCUGUUUUAAUAAUGGUGGAUCAUAGAGAUCUUUAUGUAACGAAAGUUUCACAUGUCUUCCUCUUCGUUCGAAACUCACUCCCUUGUUAGAAGGAAUUAUUAUAGCUUGGUGUUUAUUUUUUUGGACGUUUUCUAUAAAUUUAUAAAUACACAUAAAUUUGGCCAAGUGUGGUGGCUCGUGUCUGUAAUCCCAACACUUUGGUAGGCUGAGUGGGGAGGAUCCCUUGAGCUCAGAAGGUUGAAGCUGCAGUGAGCUGUGAUCAUGCCAUUGCACUCCUGCUGGGCCAACAAGAUGAGACCACCUGCCUCCAAAAAAAAAAAAGAAAAGAAAAAAAAAUACUAUUACAUGUUUUUGAACCCAAUUGUAUAUCUAUUUUUCUUAUUGUAUUCACAAGCAAUAUA
rnacentral:lncRNA from 10 species